GGGGAUGUAGCUCAGAUGGUAGAGCUUAGCAUGCGAUAAGUACUGGGAUCAAUACCCAGCAUCUCCA